CGGAGGGUGCAAGCGUUAAUCGGAAUUACUGGGCGUAAAGCGCACGCAGGUGGCUGAGCGAGUCGAUUGUGAAAGCCCUGGGCUUAACCUGGGAAUUGCAGUCGAUACUACUCAGCUAGAGUAUGGGAGAGGGUAGUGGAAUUCCCGGUGUAGCGGUGAAAUGCGUAGAUAUCGGGAGGAACAUCAGUGGCGAAGGCGGCUACCUGGCCCAAUACUGACACUCAGGUGCGACAGCGUGGGGAGCGAAACAGGAUUAGAUACCCUGGUAGUCCACGCCGUAAACGAUGAGAACUAGAUGUCGGGGGGGAUUAGCCCUCGGUGUCGUAGCUAACGCGCUAAGUUCUCCGCCUGGGGAGUACGGCCGCAAGGUUG
rnacentral:rRNA from 1 species